rnacentral:rRNA from 1 species
GACAGAGGGGGCAAGCGUUGUUCGGAUUUACUGGGCGUAAAGGGCGCGUAGGCGGCCACCGCAAGUCGACUGUGAAAUCUCCGGGCUUAACUCGGAAAGGUCAGCCGAUACUGCGGGGCUAGAGUGCAGAAGGGGCAACUGGAAUUCUCGGUGUAGCGGUGAAAUGCGUAGAUAUCGAGAGGAACACCUGCGGCGAAGGCGGGUUGCUGGGCUGACACUGACGCUGAUGUGCGAAAGCUAGGGUAGCGAACGGG